CCUGAGUGGUGUUUGGCGUGUUUUGUGUGAUGGAUCCCUGCUCGGGCAGCGACAUCAUCUCAUCCGCGCCUCUUCAGUUUUAGGCGCGAGCAUUUGCUCGCCCGACGUCGGUUCUCCUGUGCUGAAUACCCGCGUAUGAGGCAUGCUGCCGGUUAAAUCGUCCCUUUCCCGCUCCGUGCUGCUGCUCCUCGUGGGCAAGCGGUGCGGGGUGGGCCAAACAGCGCAUGCCGCGUGUCCCUUCCCAUCGACAUUGUAAAAGUGCGAUUGGGCAGACGAUGCACGGCGUGUUGCUCGGUCUCUCGGGUACGGAAUAUCGUGUGGGUACGGGGCCAUCGGCCUCGGAGCACCACAAACAAGCGUUCUACGCUUCGUGCGAACGACAGCUGUUUCGGCUUCCGGCCGAGCUCUCGUGGCUCGUUUCGGGGUCGUGACGGCGUCGAUGAGGAAUGCUACCU
rnacentral:misc_RNA from 1 species